rnacentral:rRNA from 1 species
AGAGUUUGAUCCUGGCUCAGGACGAACGCUGGCGGCGUGCCUAACACAUGCAAGUCGAGCGGAGAUAACGUGCUUCGGCGUGUUAUUUCAGCGGCGGACGGGUGAGUAACGCGUGAAGGACCUGCCCCUUACAGAGGGAUAACAUCGAGAAAUCGGUGCUAAUACCGCAUAAGACCACGGUGCUGCAUGGCAUUGAGGUAAAAGGAGAAAUCCGGUAAGGGAUGGCUUCGCGUCCCAUUAGAUAGUAGGCGGGGUAACGGCCCACCUAGUCGACGAUGGGUAGCCGACCUGAGAGGGUGAUCGGCCACACUGGAACUGAGACACGGUCCAGACUCCUACGGGAGGCAGCAGUGGGGAAUAUUGGGCAAUGGGCGAAAGCCUUACCCAGCAACGCCGCGUGAGAGAAGAAGGUUUUCGGAUUGUAAAUCUCUGUCCUGGGGGACGAAGAAAGUGACGGUACCCCGGGAGGAAGCCCCGGCUAACUACGUGCCAGCAGCCGCGGUAAUACGUAGGGGGCGAGCGUUGUCCGGAAUUAUUGGGCGUAAAGGGCGUGUAGGUGGCCAGAUAAGCGUAAUGUGGAAGUCCAUAUUUCAAGUAUGGAAGUGCGCUAUGAACUGUCUGGCUUGAGUGCAGGAGAGGGAAGCGGAAUUCCUGGUGUAGCGGUAAAAUGCGUAGAUAUCAGGAGGAACACCGGUGGCGAAGGCGGCUUUCUGGACUGUAACUGACACUGAGGCGCGAAAGCGUGGGGAUCAAACAGGAUUAGAUACCCUGGUAGUCCACGCUGUAAACGAUGAAUGCUAGGUGUAGGAGGUAUCGACCCCUUCUGUGCCGCAGUUAACGCAAUAAGCAUUCCGCCUGGGGAGUACGGUCGCAAGAUUAAAACUCAAAGGAAUUGACGGGGGCCCGCACAAGCAGCGGAGCAUGUGGUUUAAUUCGAAGCAACGCGAAGAACCUUACCAAGGCUUGACAUCCCCUGACGGUGCUGGAAACAGUACUUCCCUUCGGGGCAGGGAGACAGGUGGUGCAUGGUUGUCGUCAGCUCGUGUCGUGAGAUGUUGGGUUAAGUCCCGCAACGAGCGCAACCCCUAUGUUCAGUUACUAACAAGUAAUGUUGAGGACUCUGGACAGACCGCCGGGGACAACUCGGAGGAAGGUGGGGACGACGUCAAAUCAUCAUGCCCCUUAUGUCUUGGGCUACACACGUGCUACAAUGGUCGUUACAAAGAGCAGCGAAGCCGUAAGGCGGAGCGAAUCUCAAAAAAGCGAUCCCAGUUCGGAUUGUGGGCUGCAACCCGCCCACAUGAAGUCGGAGUUGCUAGUAAUCGCGGUUCAGCAUGCCGCGGUGUAUACGUUCCCGGGCCUUGUACACACCGCCCGU